CCUACGGGAGGCUGCAGUCGAGAAUUUUUGGCAAUGGGGGAAACCCUGACCAAGCGAUGCCGCGUGCGGGAUGAAGGCCUUCGGGUUGUAAACCGCUGUCAGUGGGGAGAAAAGGAUCGGUGUACCCGGUCUUGAUCUAUCCGCAGAGGAAGUGUGGGCUAAGCUCGUGCCAGCAGCCGCGGUAAGACGAGCCACACGAACGUUAUUCGGAAUUACUGGGCUUAAAGGGUGCGUAGGCUGCGCGGAAAGUUGGGUGUGAAAUCCCUCGGCUCAACCGAGGAACUGCGCCCAAAACUACCGUGCUCGAGGAAGAUAGAGGUAAGCGGAACUUACGGUGGAGCGGUGAAAUGCGUUGAUAUCGUAAGGAACACCUGUGGCGAAAGCGGCUUACUGGGUCUUUUCUGACGCUGAUGCACGAAAGCUAGGGGAGCAAACGGGAU
rnacentral:rRNA from 1 species